CUAUGUUAGGAGAGAGGCAAAGAACUGCAGUUCCCUCCUGCGUUUGCACUGAUGUCUUCACGGCAGGAAGCAUAUUAUGUCAAAGGUUUUCAAUGCCGUCCUUGAAGCUCUUCCAACAAGGCCAUUUGUAGAGACGUUCAUAGUUGACGUUGAGUUUGUUGCCUGGAAUGCCAUUUCUAUGGUAUUCUACGGUAUUCCAUGAUGCUGUUACCAAGGGAUGAAGUUCCAUUGGUGCCAGGCCAUGGAGACAUAUCCAUCUAACUUCAUGAAGAGGGAAGCUACCCACCGCUACCUGAAGCAGCUCAUGGCCUUACCCUUCCUACCUAACAUCCCUGUCACAUUUCAGACACUGAAGGAAAGGGACAACACCGCGCCCCUCCAGUCUCUCGUUAACUACAUCGACCGCCAGUGAAUGCAUCUUCCAUCUUCCUUCCAUCAUCCUGGACAGUAUACCAGCAGCCCGUCUGGACUAACAACGAUUUAGAAGAUUGGCAUCCCAGGGUCAACGGAAAGGAUGAUAAUCUCUACUGAGUGAGUGACUCACUUCACUACACUAGUGGUGUAAAUCAGAUGUGGAUACAAAAAUUCAUAGGGACUUUUGGGAAAUUGGACAUUACAAAAUUUACCAAAUUAAAAUCUACAGCAUUACAAUUUUUAAAGCUGAUAUACAACUAUUCCCCAUAUUAAAGUCCAGUCGUUUUUCAAUAGCAGUGACAGCUGCUUUUUCAAUAAAAAUGAAACUCGUAAUUUACUCACCUUGCUAUGGGUCAUUUGCAAAAUUAUAUUGUU